CACGUAGGUGGCGAGCGUUAUCCGGAAUUACUGGGCGUAAAGGGCGCGCAGGCGGCCAUUUAAGUUUGACGUAAAAGCUCCUGGCUUAACUGGGAGAGGUCGUUGGAGACUGAAUGGCUUGAGGCAAUGAGAGGGGUGCGGAAUUCCCGGUGUAGUGGUGGAAUGCGUAGAUAUCGGGAGGAACACCAGUGGCGAAAGCGGCACCCUGGCAUUGGACUGACGCUGAAGUGCGAAAGCGUGGGGAGCGAACGGG
rnacentral:rRNA from 1 species